AUAUGAAAAAAAAAACAAUCACUCUUAACUAGGGAUGGUAGAAAAAUCUGUACCGACGGGUAGCGGGUAUUUUAAUAUCCGCUUGUUAACGGGUCGGGUUCAGGUAUCACCCUAUCCAUACCCGUGAGUACCCGCUACUUGUUUAAAAACCAAAAUUCUAAUUUUACCCCUAACUAUUUUAUGAAAUUAAAAAAUAAGUUAAAAUAUAUGUUUUUAAUUUUGCCUCGGUGGUGGUGAAAAGGUCUCUUCUUCUUCUUUCUUCUUCUCUCUCACACUUCCUUCCCUUCUUCUUUCUUCUUCUUUCUUUUUUUCUCUCACACUUCCUUCCCUUCUUCUUUCUUCUUCUCUCUUCUCUCUCAAACUUUCUUUCCCUUCUUCUUUCCCCACCUACCAAUAACAAGAAUCACACACCGCAAAGACCUCACGGUACUGUUGUCACUGUUUGUAGCUUCUUCUUCCACCAUUCACGGCUCCGCCCACGGCCAACGGUGAAGCCAGCCAACAGUAGGUGAUCUCGACAGUGAAGCCAGCCAGCAGCAUCAGGAUCAUCCCGUUCGCAGAGCUUGAGAGGCUGAACCACAUAGGGAGCGGCGACGAGAGGCAGAUCUAAGAUUUUUUGGUAUAGAUUUGAGAUACUUUAGUGCAGAUCUGAGAUCCUUAAGUGCAUAUCUGAGAUGUUUUGAUGCAGAUUUGAAAUAUUUUGAUGUAUAUCUGAGUUUGAAGUAAAGAUCUAGGGUUUAUAAGUUUUGAAAAAUAAAGAAAAAUAGAUUUUGGGUCAAAAUUUGAGUUUGGG
rnacentral:lncRNA from 1 species